rnacentral:rRNA from 1 species
CGCUGGCGGCGUGCCUAAUACAUGCAAGUCGAGCGAGCAGAACCAGCAGAUUUACUUCGGUAAUGACGCUGGGGACGCGAGCGGCGGAUGGGUGAGUAACACGUGGGGAACCUGCCCCAUAGUCUGGGAUACCACUUGGAAACAGGUGCUAAUACCGGAUAAGAAAGCAGAUCGCAUGAUCAGCUUAUAAAAGGCGGCGUAAGCUGUCGCUAUGGGAUGGCCCCGCGGUGCAUUAGCUAGUUGGUAAGGCAACGGCUUACCAAGGCAAUGAUGCAUAGCCGAGUUGAGAGACUGAACGGCCACAUUGGGACUGAGACACGGCCCAAACUCCUACGGGAGGCAGCAGUAGGGAAUCUUCCACAAUGGACGCAAGUCUGAUGGAGCAACGCCGCGUGAGUGAAGAAGGUUUUCGGAUCGUAAAGCUCUGUUGUUGGUGAAGAAGGAUAGAGGCAGUAACUGGCCUUUAUUUGACGGUAAUCAACCAGAAAGUCACGGCUAACUACGUGCCAGCAGCCGCGGUAAUACGUAGGUGGCAAGCGUUGUCCGGAUUUAUUGGGCGUAAAGCGAGCGCAGGCGGAAGAAUAAGUCUGAUGUGAAAGCCCUCGGCUUAACCGAGGAAUUGCAUCGGAAACUGUUUUUCUUGAGUGCAGAAGAGGAGAGUGGAACUCCAUGUGUAGCGGUGGAAUGCGUAGAUAUAUGGAAGAACACCAGUGGCGAAGGCGGCUCUCUGGUCUGCAACUGACGCUGAGGCUCGAAAGCAUGGGUAGCGAACAGGAUUAGAUACCCUGGUAGUCCAUGCCGUAAACGAUGAGUGCUAAGUGUUGGGAGGUUUCCGCCUCUCAGUGCUGCAGCUAACGCAUUAAGCACUCCGCCUGGGGAGUACGACCGCAAGGUUGAAACUCAAAGGAAUUGACGGGGGCCCGCACAAGCGGUGGAGCAUGUGGUUUAAUUCGAAGCAACGCGAAGAACCUUACCAGGUCUUGACAUCUAGUGCCAUCCUAAGAGAUUAGGAGUUCCCUUCGGGGACGCUAAGACAGGUGGUGCAUGGCUGUCGUCAGCUCGUGUCGUGAGAUGUUGGGUUAAGUCCCGCAACGAGCGCAACCCUUGUUAUUAGUUGCCAGCAUUAAGUUGGGCACUCUAAUGAGACUGCCGGUGACAAACCGGAGGAAGGUGGGGAUGACGUCAAGUCAUCAUGCCCCUUAUGACCUGGGCUACACACGUGCUACAAUGGACAGUACAACGAGAAGCGAGCCUGCGAAGGCAAGCGAAUCUCUGAAAGCUGUUCUCAGUUCGGACUGCAGUCUGCAACUCGACUGCACGAAGCUGGAAUCGCUAGUAAUCGCGGAUCAGAACGCCGCGGUGAAUACGUUCCCGGGCCUUGUACACACCGCCCGUCACACCAUGGAAGUCUGCAAUGCCCAAAGCCGGUGGCCUAACCUUCGGGAAGGAGCCGUCUAAGGCAGGGCAGAUGACUGGG